UACGGAGGGUGCGAGCGUUGUCCGGAUUUACUGGGCGUAAAGGGCGCGCAGGCGGCCUUGCAAGUAGCGUGUGAAAUCCACCUGCUCAACGGGUGGGGUGCAUGGUAGACUGCAGGGCUAGAGGACGGUAGAGGGGGGUGGAAUUGCUGGUGUAGCGGUGAAAUGCGUAGAGAUCAGCAGGAACACCCGUGGCGAAGGCGGCCCCCUGGGCCGUACCUGACGCUGAGGCGCGAAGGCUAGGGGAGCGAACGGG
rnacentral:rRNA from 1 species